rnacentral:rRNA from 1 species
AUUGAACGCUGGCGGCAGGCCUAACACAUGCAAGUCGAGCGGAUGAGUGGAGCUUGCUCCAUGAUUCAGCGGCGGACGGGUGAGUAAUGCCUAGGAAUCUGCCUGGUAGUGGGGGACAACGUGUCGAAAGGAACGCUAAUACCGCAUACGUCCUACGGGAGAACGCAGGGGACCUUCGGGCCUUGCGCUAUCAGAUGAGCCUAGGUCGGAUUAGCUAGUUGGUGAGGUAAAGGCUCACCAAGGCGACGAUCCGUAACUGGUCUGAGAGGAUGAUCAGUCACACUGGAACUGAGACACGGUCCAGACUCCUACGGGAGGCAGCAGUGGGGAAUAUUGGACAAUGGGCGAAAGCCUGAUCCAGCCAUGCCGCGUGUGUGAAGAAGGUCUUCGGAUUGUAAAGCACUUUAAGUUGGGAGGAAGGGCAGUAAGUUAAUACCUUGCUGUUUUGACGUUACCGACAGAAUAAGCACCGGCUAACUUCGUGCCAGCAGCCGCCGUAACAC